CCGAAAUAAAAUCAUUUCAGUUUUUUUAUACAAUGUUUUGACUCUUCGUCUUAUUUGAAUUUUUUGCCAUUAGUAUUUUUAUUCUUACUAAAUGAUAAAAUAUGAAUAGUACUUUAUACAUGACUAUUUUUUAAAGUUUUUUAUAAAUUUUUUAAAUAAUAUGAAUGGUCAAACGUUGGACACGGAAAA
rnacentral:pre_miRNA from 1 species